AUGGCGGCGACGAAGAAACCCAAGGCCAAGCCUCAAAAACCAGCCAAGGUGACGGCUGCGAGGAUAGCAAAGAUGAUGGCUGAAGGGGACGAGAUGAUAAGAAACAUGACGCCUGAAGAAAGGGCCAGGCUUAUUGCCGAGUCCAUGGCUAAAAAAUCGGCCGAGGAAGCUGCUGCGGCGAAAGAUGAAGUUGGAGAUGACGAGGAGGAGACUGCACCGACACAAUGCGAGGAAGAAUGGCUCGCUGCCAAGUUUCGCUCUAUGUGGAGAAGAUACCUAGCUCCCUGUGGUGUUACCUUCGACCAAACCACAUCUAUCCCUUCCAUGCGUCAUGUGAAUCCUGCUUCGGAUUGCUCGGCCAAGGCCAUGGACACUCUGCAGAUUAUGUCAGUCAAAGUUGCAGCAAUCAACGGGGGCUUGCACUGGCCACUGCAGGUGUUUGGUAUCGUUGCCGCGCGUGAUUACUUGGAUCGUAAGCGCAAUAUUAUUUUCCACCGGCCGAGGACUGACUGCCAAACCAUCACCCAGGAUGAUUGCUACCUAGCACUGUCAGGUCCGACCCGUGCCAUUGUCGUGUCAUAUGAUCCUACAUACCUUGAGGUAUCGCUCAAAGUGAAGGGCGCUACUGAAUCUGAGGAUAAAGAUUUAAGUGCUCUUGUUGUGGUGUUUAGAGCUGGAGCCUGUCCUCAAAGUGUCUUCCCUAGCAGGCUUAGCACGCUGGAAAUUAAUUUUGAUCACAUUUAUCACUCGGUGGAGGCCACGGUCUUUAUAAGAAUCAUUGGCGGGUCGUGGCCGGAUGGCUUUCGGGGUGUAUUUAGUGCUGCCUCCAGUAGGGAUGACACCCUGCAAGUCAAGUUACUUGACUUUGAAGAUGGUGGGUUGCCUGUUGACGCUAAUGGUGUGAUCACGCUCACACGACAUGUGGUCUCUGCUGCGCUUCAGAGGAACCUGAAGGUUUCUGUAAUGGCAUUUCCAGUUAAGGAGGGAUUUGCGGCAGAGGCCAGCGAAGCAGUUUUAGAACCUCAUAGAGCCGGUGUAAGCCCCCCAGGAGUCAAUCUCUGUGUUGGCUCGUGUAGUAUGGAAGUUCGUGUUGCUUGGUCCUGUUUCUGUUGUGAGUGGUGA
rnacentral:rRNA from 1 species